rnacentral:misc_RNA from 1 species
GAUCAAUUGUGAUGCAACCCCAUGUAAACUUAACAAGCUCCUCUUAAUCACAAUAGUUUCUAAAUCACUAUAUAUCAAUAAUACAUUCCAUAAUCUCAUUUUUCUCCUUUUAGUUUCCUUUCUUCAGGUUAAGAAAUCAAAGCCACUCUGUGCAUAGUUAGGAGAUGGUUGGCAGGCAGCCAAUUUAUACUUACACCAGCCGAUGAAAACCCAUACUUCUUCUUGAUUUGAUCAACUGCACCUGCCUUAUUAUCUGUUGCAUUCCAAUCAGGUUCCUCUACCUUGGCCGAGUUUUUCUCCGUCUUGACCUUCAUCUGUCUCAAUUUUCCUUUAAAAGAAUUAAAUGUACUUGCCAACUUCUGCUUAUUUAGAGAAGCCAACAUGCUCUGUUCUUUUGGUUUUUCAACAGGAUCUUCAAGUUCG